rnacentral:rRNA from 1 species
GCAGUUAAAAAGCUCGUAGUUGGAUUUCGGGAUGGGCCAGUCGGUCCGCCUAAUGGUGUGUUUACUGGCUGGUCUGUUCUUCUUCGCAAAGACUGCGUGUGCACUUUACUGUGUGUGCGUAGGAUUUACGACGUUUACUUUGAAAAAAUUAGAGUGUUCAAAGCAGGCAUACCGCUUGAAUACAUGAGCAUGGAAUAAUGGAAUAGGACUUUGGUCUUAUUUUGUUGGUUUCUGAGACCGAAGUAAUGAUUAAGAGGGACAGUUGGGGGCAUUCGUAUUUCGUUGUCAGAGGUGAAAUUCUUGGAUUUACGAAAGACGAACAAUUGCGAAAGCAUUUGCCAAGAAUGUUUUCAUUAAUCAAGAACCGAAAGUUAGAGGAUCGAAGACGAUCAGAUACCGUCCUAGUUCUAACCAUAAACGAUGUC